GACGAACGCUGGCGGCGUGCUUAACACAUGCAAGUCGAACGGAAAGGCCCUGCUUUUGUGGGGUGCUCGAGUGGCGAACGGGUGAGUAACACGUGAGUAACCUGCCCUUGACUUUGGGAUAACUUCAGGAAACUGGGGCUAAUACCGGAUAGGAGCUCCUGCUGCAUGGUGGGGGUUGGAAAGUUUCGGCGGUUGGGGAUGGACUCGCGGCUUAUCAGCUUGUUGGUGGGGUAGUGGCUUACCAAGGCUUUGACGGGUAGCCGGCCUGAGAGGGUGACCGGCCACAUUGGGACUGAGAUACGGCCCAGCCUCCUACGGGAGGCAGCAGUGGGGAAUAUUGCACAAUGGGCGGAAGCCUGAUGCAGCAACGCCGCGUGCGUGAUGACGGCCUUCGGGUUGUAAACCGCUUUCGCCUGUGACGAAGCGUGAGUGACGGUAAUGGGUAAAGAAGCACCGGCUAACUACGUG
rnacentral:rRNA from 1 species